CACGUAGGGGGCAAGCGUUGUCCGGAUUUAUUGGGCGUAAAGAGCUCGUAGGCGGUUCGAUAAGUCGGGUGUGAAACCUCCAGGCUCAACCUGGAGACGCCACCCGAUACUGUCGUGACUAGAGUCCAGUAGGGGAGCGUGGAAUUCCUGGUGUAGCGGUGAAAUGCGCAGAUAUCAGGAGGAACACCGGUGGCGAAGGCGGGUCUCUGGGCAGUAACUGACGCUGAGGAGCGAAAGCGUGGGGAGCGAACAGG
rnacentral:rRNA from 1 species